GGAGAGGUGUCCGAGAUGGCUUAAGGAGCACGAUUGGAAAUCGUGUGUGGUUAACGCCACCGGGAGUUCGAAUCUCCCCUUCUCCGCCA
rnacentral:tRNA from 1 species